CUGGCUCAGGAUGAACGCUAGCUACAGGCUUAACACAUGCAAGUCGAGGGGCAGCAUUGGAGUAGCAAUACUUCAGAUGGCGACCGGCGCACGGGUGAGUAACACGUAUCCAACCUGCCGCUUACUCGGGGAUAGCCUUUCGAAAGAAAGAUUAAUACCCGAUGGUAUAAAGAGUUCGCAUGUUCUCUUUAUUAAAGAAUUUCGGUAAGCGAUGGGGAUGCGUUCCAUUAGAUAGUUGGCGGGGUAACGGCCCACCAAGUCUACGAUGGAUAGGGGUUCUGAGAGGAAGGUCCCCCACAUUGGAACUGAGACACGGUCCAAACUCCUACGGGAGGCAGCAGUGGGGAAUAUUGGUCAAUGGACGAGAGUCUGAACCAGCCAAAAGUAGCGUGAAGGAUGACUGCCCUAUGGGUUGUAAACUUCUUUUAUAAGGGAAUAAAGUGAGGGACGUGUCCCUUUUUGUAUGUACCUUAUGAAUAAGGAUCGGCUAACUCCGUGCCAGCCGCCGC
rnacentral:rRNA from 1 species